GAUGAACGCUGGCGGCGUGCCUAAUACAUGCAAGUCGAGCGAACGGACGAGAAGCUUGCUUCUCUGAUGUUAGCGGCGGACGGGUGAGUAACACGUGGAUAACCUACCUAUAAGACUGGGAUAACUUCGGGAAACCGGAGCUAAUACCGGAUAAUAUUUUGAACCGCAUGGUUCAAAAGUGAAAGACGGUCUUGCUGUCACUUAUAGAUGGAUCUGCGCUGCAUUAGCUAGUUGGUAAGGUAACGGCUUACCAAGGCAACGAUGCGUAGCCGACCGGAGAGAGUGAUCGCCCGCACUGGAACUGGGACACGGUCCAUGCGCCUGCGGGAGGCAGCAGUCUGGAAUGUUACGCAAUGGGCGGGAGCCUGGCGGAGCAACGCCGCGUGAGUGAUGAAAGUCCUCGGAUCGUGAAACUCUGUUAUUAGGGAAGAACAUCUGUGUACGGAGCUGUGCACAUCUUGACGGUAACUAAUCAGAAAGCCACGGCUAACUACGUG
rnacentral:rRNA from 1 species